UACGUAGGGGGCAAGCGUUGUCCGGAAUUAUUGGGCGUAAAGAGCGCGUAGGCGGUCCGAUAAGUCGGCUGUGAAAGUCAGGGGCUCAACCCUUGAAAGCCGGCCGAUACUGUCGGACUAGAGUCCGGAAGAGGCAAGUGGAAUUCCCGGUGUAGCGGUGAAAUGCGCAGAUAUCGGGAGGAACACCGGUGGCGAAGGCGGCGACCUGGGUAGAUACUGACGCUGAGGUGCGAAAGCGUGGGGAGCAAACAGG
rnacentral:rRNA from 1 species